rnacentral:rRNA from 1 species
GAUUCUGGCUCAGGAUGAACGCUGGCGGCGUGCCUAACACAUGCAAGUCGAACGAAGCACUGGAGAACGGAGAUUCGUCAAAGUUUCCUUUGACUGAGUGGCGAACGGGUGAGUAAUGCGUGAGCAACCUGCCCUUCAGAGGGGGACAACAGUUGGAAACGACUGCUAAUACCGCAUGAUGUAUUUGGGUGGCAUCAUCUGAAUACCAAAGGAGAAAUCCGCUGAGGGAUGGGCUCACGUCUGAUUAGCUAGUUGUAGGGUAACGGCCUACCAAGGCUGCGAUCAGUAGCCGGACUGAGAGGUUGAACGGCCACAUUGGGACUGAGAUACGGCCCAGACUCCUACGGGAGGCAGCAGUGGGGAAUAUUGGGCAAUGGGCCGAAAGCCUGACCCAGCAACGCCGCGUGAAGGAAGAAGGCCUUCGGGUUGUAAACUUCUUUUAUGAGGGACGAAGGACGUGACGGUACCUCAUGAAUAAGCCACGGCUAACUACGUGCCAGCCGCCGC